CCCCCCCUCACUCGCGCGUUAGGAGGCUCGGGUCGGUGUGGUGUGCCGUCUUCCCGCUCGCGUCAGGGACCUGCCCGACUCAGCGGCCGCCAUGGCGUCCGACGAAGGCAAACUUUUCGUGGGCGGGCUCAGUUUUGACACCAACGAGCAGUCGCUGGAGCAGGUCUUCUCCAAGUACGGACAGAUCUCGGAAGUGGUGGUGGUGAAAGACAGGGAGACCCAGCGAUCGCGAGGCUUUGGUUUUGUCACCUUUGAGAACAUCGAUGAUGCCAAGGACGCCAUGAUGGCCAUGAAUGGGAAGUCUGUGGACGGGCGGCAGAUCCGAGUUGACCAGGCUGGCAAGUCAUCCGACAAUCGAUCCCGAGGGUACCGAGGUGGCUCUACUGGAGGCCGGGGCUUCUUCCGUGGGGGCCGGGGCCGGGGCCGUGGGUUCUCCAGAGGGGGAGGGGACCGAGGCUAUGGGGGUGGCAGGUUUGAGUCCCGGAGUGGGGGCUACGGAGGCUCCAGAGACUACUACAGCAGUCGGAGUCAGGGUGGUGGCUACGGUGACCGGAGCUCAGGCGGUUCCUACAGAGACAGCUAUGACAGUUACGGGUGAAGGCGGCCCGCAUGGACAGCAGCGAUGACCUCGGGUCGCCGCCAGGAGGGCCACACAGAAGGACAGCGAGACCAGCCGCCUGCCUCCCGGCUCGUCGCCCCCGCCACGACGAACGGGAGCCAGCCGGACGAGCCACACAACAGAACGCAUGCGUGGGUUCCGGGCGCGCAGGGCUCGGCGCUGCUGCGCUCCUUCUACGUGCUCACGGGCCUCUGUGGCCUGGCGGCGCUCUACUUCCUCAUCCGGGCAUUCAGGUUCGUCAGGCGGAAGUUGUUGCCGCUGCCCUUCCUCAGCCAAUUGGCACAUGUCACGUGUGGGGGCGGGGCCGUGCUGCCACGUGGCUCCCCCAGGGCAAGUAGCGGGUUUUGGUAGUUUUCACUAGCGAGGGGUAGUGUGGGGUGGUGCUGCUUUUUAGGCGGAUGGCAUGGCCGGUCUCUCCUUCCCUGGAGGACACCAAGAGAUUGCUUCUCUGUUCUCAUGCUUAUGGCAGCCACGAGUGUCCUGUCCUAUUUUCCGGUACUGCUGUUAGCACUGCAUAGAGACUCUCCAGGUCCCCAGGGACCCGCUGCCUGGCGUUCGCCUGCUACAACUGGCCUCUGACCUUCUUGGUCGGAGUCUGGUCAAGCCCUCUGCGGCCCUUUGGGUCCUCUUGCUCUCCCCACCCCUGUGUAGGACUUGUGCGUUGGAGCCUGCCCCUUCAUUCUGGGUUCUCCUGAUUGACUUCCCCUAGAAAGGUGAGAAGCGCCUGUCCUUCCCCGUGGCCCUCGUCUCUGUUGUGCCUCUGGGGCACUCUGGAGCUGAUCUCUGGAAGGACCCUCAUCACAUCGGUGGUGAUGUCCCUUCUGGUCAUCAUCCAAGCACAGUCUUGUAGUUCUUGGUGGAGAGCCUUCAUCUCCUGACUCCGUUGCGUAUGCCCAUUCACUAUAUCUGUCUCUCCGUUUCUCUGGUAUGGCCACCGGCAGGCAGGCAGGGGCUUGGGCCCACAGUCCUCCCUUUAGGGACUGGUGGACUCUUAACUCUGCUCCGGGACUCUCUGUCAGUAAACUGGGAGCCGGAACAUCAUCAUUUUCUUGUGGUCUUGGCACAGGGGAGGUGGGGGUGAGCUGAGGAAUGUGUUCACUUGCUGUUGCUGCAGUGACAGUUUUUUUUUUCCCCCUGAGGGAGGAUUGAAUGCAGGUGUACUUUACAAGAGAGCUACCCCCAACCCUUUUUUAAGUUUUGAGACAGUGUCCAGUUGCUCAGCUAGGCUGGAACUUGGAAUUCUCCUACCUCAGUUGGGAUGACAAGCGUGUGCUACCACAUCCAGCUGUACGAAAGCAUUUAGUAAUAAUCCUCAUGGCUUUUACAAUGUGAAGGUAGCAGACAUGAUUGGGCUGGAUGCAGCAGGACUCUGGGGGUGGGAACGGGCACAAAAGUGAGGGCCAGGGGCCAGACGGAGAGAGCAGAGACAGCCACUGAGUGUGUCUGGACCAUGUGCAGGUUGAAG